rnacentral:rRNA from 1 species
AACGAACGCUGGCGGCAGGCCUAACACAUGCAAGUCGAACGAGCAUUUCGGUCCUAUCGGCGGACGGGUGGGUACCGCGUGGGAACGUGCCCUUUUCUGCGGAAUCGUUCUCUGAAACUGGGGUUAAUACCGCUUACGCCCUUUUGGGGAAAGAUUUAUCGGUGCAGGAUCGGCCCUCGUUGGAUUCGGUAGUUGGUGGGGUAAUGGCCGACCAUGCCGACGUUCCAUGGCUGGUUGGUGAGGAGGAUAAUCCGCACUUGACCUGAGACACGGCCCAGACUCCGACGGGAGGCAGCAGUGGGGAAUCUGAGACAAGGGGGGCAACCCUGAUAUAGCCACGCCGGGGGAGUGAUGAAGGCCUUAGGGUUGUAAAGCCGUUUCAGCUGGGAAGAUAAUGACGGUACCAGCAGAAGAAGCCCCGGCUAACUACGUG